rnacentral:rRNA from 1 species
GAGUUUGAUUAUGGCUCAGAGUGAACGCUGGCGGCGUGCCUAAUACAUGCAAGUCGAACGGACAAGUAAGAGCUUGCUCUUAUGAGUUAGUGGCGCACGGGUGAGUAAUGUAUAGCUAAUCUGCCCUACACUAGAGGACAACAGUUGGAAACGACUGCUAAUACUCUAUACUCCUUCUUUACAUAAGUUGAGUCGGGAAAGUUUUUCGGUGUAGGAUGAGGCUAUAUCGUAUCAGCUAGUUGGUAAGGUAAUGGCUUACCAAGGCUAUGACGCGUAACUGGUCUGAGAGGAUGAUCAGUCACACUGGAACUGAGACACGGUCCAGACUCCUACGGGAGGCAGCAGUAGGGAAUAUUGCUCAAUGGGGGAAACCCUGAAGCAGCAACGCCGCGUGGAGGAUGACACUUUUCGGAGGCGUAAACUCCUUUUCUUGGGAAAGAAUUAUGACGUACCCAGGNNGCC